CACAAAGACUUCCAAAUAACUGCUAGGAGGAUAUGCAUAUUUAAAGGGGCAUUUGUGUUUUUUCAUUUCAGAUGUCUUUCAAAGAAGACAUUAUAUUGUAUGUCUAUAUGUUUUACCAAGAUCUACUAGAACCACCAAGAGACCACUACCGAAUUAAAGGAUAUGUACAGGUCUUGCACGAGAUUUGGCAGAAAAUAUCAUCAACUCGGAACCUACUAGCACCACUACUACAUGAACUACCGCCUAC